GUUGGCACUGGGAUCAGCAGUGCUACUAAUAAAAGACUUAUUUUGGACUCUGAAAUGUUGAUGAGAAAGUUUGUAUUGAUUUUAAAAUGGUUGGUUACAUGGAUUGGGGAAUAUAAGACACAGGAUAGUGGGAGGAAGCAUCAGCCGUUUGACAAAGCCCUGAGGGGGGGGCGAAAUGCAUUACGGACCCGGAACCAGGAAGUGAUUUGGAGACAGUCGGCAACAACAACCAGGAUAGCAGCCGGAAGAUUCUUUACUGUUUGCGGUUUCCUGAGGCUGGUGAGCGGACUAAUUAACUCCACAACAAGUUUUGCUGUUUUUUAAUUGUAAUAAAGUAUACUUACCUGAGAUCCGGGUUGCAAGCUUCCUUUCCACGGAUCCCACGCACUCUAGGGGCUGAUCCUCCCUGAGUGCUAUAGCAACGAGUGGUGCUUUUACCACUCCAAUCUUGUGAGUGUAAUACCUAAAGGGCACCUCUGUUUGCUUUAUUUUAUAUAUUUAUAAGCGAAUUACUACGCUGCACUAGGAGCUCUCUUUCUGUUUUUGUCUCCUUAAUAGGUGUCAGAGUGAUUUCCAUGUUUUCAAGUAUACCUACAGAUUGUGUUUUGUUUUACCACAACCACUGUUUGGUUUUAAAGUAUUUAUAAUAUUUCCACUCUGUAAACACCUCAUUUUAUGUACACAGGGUUACUUUCACUCUCUAUAAGAGGUCCAUAGUGAAUAUGAUUUUUAUUUCUUUGUUGUUGUGCACCAUCACUACUGUAAGUUAUUUUAUGUUCAAAUCGUUUUACCAGGAUUUGUUUUUGUUGGUUGCUGCAUGUACUAAGAUCCUUCUCUCACUUGCGCCAUCCUAUUUAUAAUCGUUUUUUAUAAAUGAAGGUGAGACACAUCCUUAGAUAAGAAGUGUGGGUGUUGGCUAGAAAAUAUGAACUCGUUUAGAAAAAGGAGUGUCAGUUGGGUUACAUAACAUUAUUCCAAUAUAUAGGGUUUGUACAAACAGCUCUCUGGUAACCUGCUAUUUAAUCAAUUACAUACAGAUCCUGCAAAGUAUUUAAACAUGAAAUUGCAAAAACAUUCCUAAUUUAAGGCAUUAUGUAUUUAUAUCCCAUAUGUAUAUUUUAGUCAUUCUCGUGCAAUUGCAUUUUAAGUGAAGGACGUCAAUGAAUUACAAUACAAUACAGUAACAUAAAGCAUGAAAUGUCACAUUUCAGUAAAUGCUACCUAAUCACUUCAGAAUGAAUUUCAUUUUAGACAAUAGACUUGUUGUGCUGAUGAGGCGGUUUAUCAGUGCAGAAGACUUGCACAGUCAUAGGAAGAUAGGUACUGUAUACCAGGCCCGGACUGGCCACCGGGCAAAUGCCCGGUGGGCCGCGGUGGCCAUGUGCCGAGGCCGGCAGGGGAGAUCACAGGAUCUCCCCUGCCGGUCUAUGCAGGGCCGGCACUCUCCUAGCGCCGGCCCCGCUGUUUGUCACGACGGGCCGGUGGGGAGAUCAAAGAUCUCCCUGACCGGCCCACAUGCGGCCGCCGGCGGGGAGGGAGGGAGCCAGCCAGCCAGGCUGGAGAGAGGACCCGGCGGAGCUCUAACUUGCAGCUCCGCCGGGUUCCUCUCACGAGAUCCGGCGCGUUGCCAUGGCAACGACCGGAUCUCGCGAGAGUGAACUCUAACCUCACAGGCUAGAGUUCACUCACCCACGAGGACCACCAGGGAACACUGCCACCCCGCCUUCCAGCGUGCCGGACCCCCCUCCCAGGCUAAAGGUAAGAAGGGAGGGGGGGAAAUAAUGACUUUUUUAUUUUUUUUUAUUUACCCCCCCCCCUACACACACACACAAUAACAUUUAUACAGCACUCUCACACCCAUCACACACAGCACUCUCUCACACAGCACUCUCACACCCAUCACACACAGCACUCUCUCACACAGCACUCUCACACCCAUCACACACAGCACUCUCACCCAUCACACACAGCACUCUCACACACAUUACACACAGCACUCUCACACACAUUACACACAGCACUCUCUCACACAUUACACACAGCACUCUCUCACACAGCACUCUCACACCCAUCACACACAGCACUCUCUCCCACAGCACUCUCACACCCAUCACACACAGCACUCUCUCACACAGCACUCUCACACCCAUCACACACAGCACUCUCUCACACAGCACUCUCACACCCAUCACACACAGCACUCUCUCACACAGCACUCUCACCCAUCACACACAGCACUCUCUCACACAUUACACACAGCACUCUCACACCCAGCACUCUCUUACCCAUCACACACAGCACUCUCACACCCAGCACUCUCACACCAUCACACACAGCGGCAUUCUCACACCCAUCACACACAGCACUUUCACACACACACAGCACUCUCUCACAGCACUCUCACAGAGCACUCUCUCACACCCAUCUCACACAGCACUCUCACACCCAUCACACACACACGGCACUCUCACACCCAUCACUCACACACGGCACUCUCACACACAUCACACACACACCGCACCCUCACACACACACAUACACCGCACCCUCACACACACACACACACAUACACCGCACCCUCACACACACACAUACACCGCACCCUCACACACACACAUACUGCACCCCUCACAUACACACAGAACCCCCCCAACACACAUACACAAUACUUCCAAAUAUAUAUAUAUAUAUAUAUAUAUAUAUAUAUAUAUAUACAUACACACACACACACAUAUACAUAUACAUACACACACACACUACACUCUUAAAGGACCACUCUAGCCACCCAGACCACUUCAGCUUAAUGAAGUGGUCUUGGUGCCAGGUCCUUCUAGGGUUAACCCAUUGUUUUAUAAACAUAGCAGUUUCAGAGAAACUGCUAUGUUUAUCAAUAGGUUAAGCCUUCCCCCAAAGCCUCUAGCAGCUGUCUCAUUGACAGCCGCUAGAGGCGCUUGCGUGCUUUUCACUGUGAAAAUCACAGUGAGAGCACGCAAGCGUCCAUAGGAAAAGCAUUAUAAAUGCUUUCCUAUGCGACCGGCUGAAUGCGCGCGCAGCUCUUGCCGCGCGUGCGCAUUCAGCCGACGGGGCGGAUCGGAGGAGGAGAGCUCCCCGCCCGGCGCUGGAAAAAGGUAAGUUUUAACCCCUUUCCAGAGCCGUGCGGGAGGGGGUUCCUGAGCCACAUAUGCAUCACAUUACACCACAAACACAACACGACUAAAACCGACCUUAUUACACAAUACCACACCACGACCAGCUCACUCUACACACACGCAAUACCACAAGCAGGCUCCAAACACAUGCACAAUACUCUGUCCUGGCCUUUUGUCUCCUGGUAUCCAUUUAUAGAGACACCAGAGACAAGUUGCAAGGAAACACAGUGCAAGCAUGUUAUUAAAUUUGCUUGCACUGUGCAGAACAAAUACAGGACUUUUUUCUCAUGCUAGAGCUCUUCAGCAGAGCUCUGCGCAUGGUCUGCCCUGGAAGAGCAUUGAACCAACAUGCUCACUUUGAGAGGAGGCGUGUUUGUCAUUGGUGAUGACAAAACACACCUCCUCUGCCCCGCCCCAUUUUUAGUGGGCCGCUGUGUUAAAAAAAUGCCCGGGCCGAAUUUUUCUCCCAGUCCGGCCCUGCUGUAUACAACACACUGUAUGUUGAGAUAAUGAGACAAUAUUCCUAUCAGCAGUAUAGAAUCCAUGACAUAUACGUUUUAUUUUCAAGAUAAGAAUUUGGGUGCAACCAGAAAAAUUGUUGAUGGGAAUAUUUUUCAAUUGUUUUCUUUGAUGUCCAUUUUCUUUAAAAAUGCCAAUAAACUGACCAUUCAGUAGGGACUUUUAAACUCACUUGCAGAGUGUCCAAUACUCCAAUUCAACAUGACUUUCUCAGACGCUGAAAAGGCUGCAAUUGUCUCCAUCUGGGGAAAGGUAGACGGCCACGCUGAUGAGCUUGGGGCAGAGGCUUUGGAAAGGUAUGACUGACAUGAUAGUCUAUUAUAUAACAUUUUAUUGUGAAAUAUUUUCAUUUAUCAAUUGAAGUAAUAUUUUAUAACUUUCAUAUAUUAAGCCGGUAGUAUAGUUAAUCUAAACAUGUUAUUGCACGAGUCCUUAGUCAACGUUCUAUGAACUCUCUACACUGAAAUAUUUUACAUAAAUGCACAGGGAUAUUUACUAAACUGAGGAUAGUCCUUAAAUUUGAGAAUUGUCCUUAAAUUUGAAAUUCAUAUUGAAUUCCUGAUAAUGUUUUACUUUAGUAAAUAAAAACCUGUUAAAGGGUUAUUUACUAAAGUGAGCAUUGAAAGUGAAUUCAAAAUGAAUGAGUAAUUGAACUAAAAACAUAGCUGACUUAAGAGAUGCUUCCAAUUUGACUAUUUUGACAAUAAAUUUAAAAAUCCCUUUAAAUUCGCCUCAAAAUCUCACUUUAGUAAAUAAUCCUCUAUGUGUUUAUUCAGUAAAGCUGGAAUUUUAGAGAAUCUAUAAGGGAUUUACAGCUUUAAAUAGGCAAACUUUUUUUUUUUUUUUUUUUUUUUUAAAUCCCUAACUCUGCUAAGUCGGUAAUUUGGCCUAAAUUCUACGAUUCUCUUGUAAUUUUUUCACGAUUACAAAUGCAGUGAAUAAACCCCAAAGUGAUUCACUUUUGACUAAUGCUCUGAAGUUCUGAUGUGCAUUAGAAAUAGACAUACUAAUUGUACCAAAACCAUUGCAAGUUCAUUUAUCAAAACCAGGGGUCCUCAAACUUCGGCCCCCCAGAUGUUGCUGAACUACAACUCCCAUGAUUCUUUGAAUUACAUAGAUAGCCAGAGAAUCAUGGGAGUUGUAGUUCAGCAACAUCUGGGGGGUGAAGUUUGAGGACCCCUGAUCCAGGGCUCGAGUCCUGCAGGAACGCAUGGGAACGGCGUUCCUGCACUUUUUCCAAAGCAGGAACGCCGUUCCCGUUACCUGUCCUGCAGGACCGGCCCUGCUACCUGCACUGAGGGGCCAUCACACGCUGUGUUCCCUUCUCCAGCUAUAACUCUCGCGAGACCCGCGGCUGUUACCAUGGCAACGCUCCACACAGGCGAGUCUCGCGUGAGUUAGAGCUGGAGAGGGAACACAGCGUGUGAUGGCCCCACUGUGCAGCGGCUGGCUCCCUCCAGCAUACCACCGGACUACCAGGCGAUCUCCCCCCUCCCUGACAAGGUAAGAAGCAGGGAGGGGGGAAUAAAAUAAACAAAUAUAAACACAUAAAGUAAGAAACAAAAUGCUCCCCCCCCCACCCACACAUCAUCCAGCGCACACACACCCAUCAUCCAGCGCGCACACACACCCAUCAUCCAGCGCACACACACACACCCAUCAUCCAGCGCGCACACACACCCAUCAUCCAGCACUCACACACGCACUCACACACACCAUCCAGCACUCACACACACACAUCAUCCAGCGCACUCACACACACACAUCAUCCAGCGCACUCACACACACACAUCAUCCAGCGCACUCACACACACACACAUCAUCCAGCGCACUCACACACACAUCAUCCAGCGCACUCACACACACACAUCAUCCAGCGCACUCACACACUGCAUUCAUUAUACACACUCUUCACUCACUACAAACACACUACAUUCACUAUACACACUCUGCAUUCAUUAUACACAUUCUGCACUCACUACACACUACAUUCACUAUACACACACUACAUACACUGCAUUCAUUGUACACACUCUGCACUCACUACAAACACACUACAUUCAUUAUACACACACUGCACUCACUACAAAUACACUACAAUUCUUAUUCACACUGCACUCACUACAAACACACUACAUUUAUUAUUCAUACUCUGCAUUCACUACAAACACACUACAUUCAUUAUACAUGCACUGCACUAUAUGCAUAGGAGUGUAUUUUUUUUUUUUUAAGGGGGGGUGGGGGGGGGCGGGAAUCUUGGGUGAGUUCCCACACUUUUUUCCCCAGGACUUGACACCUGCCCUGAUCUAAACUAUAUUUUUACCUUAAUAAAUUGGGAUAAGUUGGGAUAACAUAGCAAUAUUUGGACUCACUUUUUCUUGCACGUGAAGUGGUUCAUUACAUACAUUACUUUCAGAUGUUCAUUUUAGGAAGACCAUAGAUUAUUUGUGAUGCGGUUAAAUAAAGUAUUUAUCAUUUUAAGAUCUAAUAACACCUAGAAGGUGUAAUAGUGCUGCCUGCCUUUUGCACGUGAAGCUGCAGUCAUUUGAUAUAAAAAUGUAUAAUAAAUAUUGCCAAUGUGUCAAAUUAAAGUUUUUUUUCAACGCUGCUUUACAAGAUAUAUUAAAAAUUGUUAAUUUGUAUCAAAUGUUAGAGAGAUUUAUUUCCUUUGAGUAGUUUUACAGCUCUAUUAAGCGUUAUUGUUGUGGUCUGACUUGAUAGAAUUAAAUAAUAAUUGGUCUUAUCACAGCUACCCUUUUCCACAAUAGAAGCUGAGUAACAUAACAGAGGUUUUCAACUAGAAGGGUUUUUCACUAAAGUGAGAAUUCUAAGUGAAUUUCUAAUUUAAGUCAGAGUAGCCAAACUGGAAGCAUACUUGACUUAGCGGAGGGAUGCCCAAACUGUAGACCCCAGAUGUUUUAAAACUACAGCUUCCAUCAUUCUAAAGUCAUGCUAAAGGCAUGCAAAGCAUCAUGGGAGUUGUAGUUCUACAGCAUCGAGGGAUCUACCUUUUGGGCAGCCCUGAUUAGAGAAUGUUUCAAUUUUAGUUAUUCUUACCUUAAAUUUGAAAUUCAUUUUGUAUCCUCUCUUUAGUGAAAUACCCUGUUAGUUAAUUUUAUCCAUAAUUUGACAUGUGUAUUCACUAAACAUUGAAAUGUGGUUACAAAAAUGUAGACUAAAGGAGUCAAGAUGAAUAAAGUAGGCGUCCUAGUUUUUACUGUUCAGUCUGUCAUUUCACCACAUUUAAUUUUUUGUGGAUUUAUUCAAUACAUUUUUAGUUGUGACCGAUUUACAAGGAUAUUACCAAGGCAUAAACAUCUGAAUUGGAUUUUCGUUUUCCAAUUAGGUUAAUUUAAUUCCCUUGUUAAUUCACUGUUUCAUAAAUGUUUGUACAUUAAAUUGUGGAUUGACAAGGGAAUUAAAAUGAUAACUGAUGUUAUAACCAGUUAUGCAAAUAACAUGUAGUAAUUUGCAACCCAUACUUAUGUUUCUCUUUUGAACAGGCUCUUUCUGAGCUUCCCUCCGAUGAAGACCUACUUCAGCCAUUUUAACAUGAGCCAUGGUUCCCAGGAUCUCCGCACUCAUGGUGGAAAAGUUUUGAAUGCCAUUGGAGGUGCUGCCAGUCACUUGGAUGAUCUUAGCGGUGCUCUAUCUGACCUCAGUGACCUCCAGGCUUUACAACUGAGAGUUGACCCUGGCAACUUCAGUGUAAGAACUUUUUGUUAUUUUUCUGCUUUACAAUAACAUGGGGUUAUCAACAAAAUGACUAAAAAUUAAAUAUAUAUGGGAGAUUUAUCAAAGUGUCCUGUUUUAAACAGUUGUACAAAUUAAAGGUGGAGAAAUCACCAGUGCUGAUUCUUCUGGCUUCCAUAAUUGGACCUACUUUAAAAAGACUCUCUGGACAUCAUAACGACUUCAUCAGAAUUAAGUUGUUGUGGUGCUAUGAGGUUCUUGGCGCUAUCUUACCUUUAGGGGCUAAACUCCUAACAAGAGGUUUAACCCAUAAGUGUUGAACCCAGUGCUGGCUAGAUCUGCCCCUCCUUUUUGCUGUUGUAUAAGACUUGAAUCAGGAAGCCUCAGACAGGGACGCCGCUCAGUGGUGUUACUACCGCUGGUGCACCCAGUGUGGCUGCACUGGGGCCCACAUGCUGAGGGAGCUAUAUGCUAGCUGCAUUUUAUAAUAUGCAAUUUGUAUUCCCCAUUAGUGUUAUUUUAUGUUCAUUGACUUGUCAUGUUAGUAGAGGCAGAAAGAUAUUUCAUGUAAGAAGCACAUUGAUAUAAUUGUCUCUAAACAUAUGUUAAUUGUAAAAAAAAAAAUAGCUUCUCGAAGAUAAAAUCUAAUAUUGAAUACAAAUGAUUACAUAUUUUGUACAUCUAUCAUAAAUAACUAAAUUUAACUCUCAUUUGAUUUCUCUUGUAGCUGCUGUCUCACUCCAUCCAGGUCACUAUGGCUGCUCACUUUGGAGCUGAAUUCACUCCCACUGCCCAAUCAGCCUGGGACAAGUUCCUCGAUGCAGUUUCUGCUGUUCUGGUUUCCAAAUCCAGAUAAACUGACGGUGUAAAUGUGACAAAUGACCAUUUCAUCACUGUAAUUAACAACACCAAUAAAGUUCUAUUAAGGAAAUUAUUGA
rnacentral:lncRNA from 1 species